GUUGCUUGUCAGGUACUUAUUUUCAGAAAAUGUAAAUGUUGCCAGUUUCUUACAAUUGCGUAAUAAGUCCUAUUGAAUACAACACAUAUGAAUCAGAGACCACCUAAAGAACCCCCAAAAAACAAAACUUUAGAGUAGCCUAGCAUCCUGGCCAAAUCUUAUACCUUGUUGUUUACUGACAGUGUUAGCAAGCAGUGAGUCAGGGUCCUUGGUCAUAAAACUUUCAUCAGUACAAAAUUUGUGCUUGAAACACCAAAAUUUGUUGAAUUCUGAGUUUGAGUACAAUCAUCGUACUUGAAAGGCCAGAAUCCGAGGCUACCUUAAAAGAAGUACCUCUGGGACAUGCUAUUUUAUGCCUUACACUCCAUGAG
rnacentral:lncRNA from 1 species